CACGUACUCCCUCCAUUCGGAAUUACUUGUCUCGGAAAUGGAUGUAUCUAGAAUUAAAAUAUGUCUAGAUACAUCCGUUUCUGCGACAAGUAAUUUCGAACGAAGGGAGUACGAG
rnacentral:pre_miRNA from 1 species